ensembl:lncRNA
GGAGAAGUCUUAAACCAAAUGGCAUUUGUGACCAAGCAGAGAAUUUUUGGAGACACCUCAUCCUCAAGUCAGUGCAUGCCCAAAAGCAAGUUCAUUUCUAACAGCGAAUUAACAGCAGAGACAUGAUCCUCCACCUUGAUCACCGGGAUUCUUGGCUCAGGGAGAAUUGUUUUCUGGAGAAAUCCUGGAGUUCAAAAAAGGCCUGAAGAAUCAUGUUGCCUACUUUAAGACAGAGAUUGGGUGGGAGGAAGGAAACCAGAUGAAUUGUGUUGCCUAAACAAUUUGUUAUGAAUUAUCCAGUCAACUGUAAGGAAAACAUAUGGACUAAAACUUCAAGAAAUUCCUCCAGCGGUUUAAAAUCCGAGCGAUGCUGAUAUUGAUCGGGUGUAUUUUAUGCAGCUUGGCUAAAUGAUGCUGCAGUGGCAGGAAAGGGCACCUGAGAGGACUGGGAUGGCAAAAAAUCCAGUGUACAAACCAGAAACUGUUUGAACUGGAGCUUAUGAUUGGGAGUGUGCAAAGUUAUUGAUAUUUUUUAAAGUGAAGGUCUUGUUUGGGAGAUAGUUAAGAACACAACUGACGCACAUUUCUAGCUCUGUUAUGCCCAUACCUAAUUGCUGCUAUGCACUAUUCCUGCGAAAGUUUAAUUUUUGCUGUUGAAAUUGCCUUUCUCAGCUUUUUCUUCAAUGGUUGAAGGAGAACACUGAACAAUGAGUUGACAAAGACUGAAAAAAGAUGUAUUUGCAUGGAAAUUACAGACCUUGAUGUUGAGGGCUCUCAAAUUCUAUAAACAAAAUAUACACUUAUGAUAGUAAUGGAAAAACUAUCCCCAAAAGGAAAACGUGAGAGUUUCAGAAUUUCGGCAAAAACCAAAAAGAGCCAUUUUCAUUCCAGCAGAAGCCUUCAAAAUGCUGUGUUUUAUUCAGACUCUGGGAAGAACAGCUGAGCCCUCUGAAUGCCCUCUGCCUCCCGAGGAGCCGAGGCUCCUCCUGCCGUGCCCCCGAUGGGCUGGGACGGGGCUGUGCCCUCCCCACGAAUGCCACCACCAAUUAAACCACGGUGAUGCAAAUGCAGAGCACGGCGCAGGGAACUCUGCUGCCUGCAUAAUGGCCGCCAUCGCCACCUGCAUCCCGUCACUCUCCUCCAGAGCACUGAAAUUACCCCUGGGACCAGUUUCUUGGUGGGACACCCCCCGGCACCACCGCCUCCAGCAAGAGUCAUUAAAAGACUUUGAAGUUCACUGGGGGUGCAGAACUCACGGCCCUGUGCCAGGAAGGGGUGCGGGCGGGCGGCCUGGCGGCGACGCGGUGGAGAUGCGCGGUCCCUGGUGCAGCAGCAGCGCAUGGCCGAGCUCCAGCACCGCGCCGGGAUCCUGCAGAGCUGAGCAGGGCAGAGGCGGAGCACGACGGGAGCGUUCAGCAGAGCCCACGUCAGCGGGGCCGCGGUGCGGAUGGGCUGCGUCGGGGCCGGCCUUAUUCCUCCUCCUUGAUUUGAUAGCCACGGAUGGGUGUUUACACUGAAGCUUCAAUGGAAGGAGGGGGAGCACUUUAUUAAAUUUCUGAAAUUCAUUUAAGUGGGGAUAGCGUAAUGAAUUGCCAGAUCUCAUGCGCACGGUGUCCCCGGAAGCAACAAUAAUUUAGGCGGACGUAAACCAAUAUGUAGAUUAAAAAUGUUUAAGCCAAGUGUCGUAAAAUAUAUAAAAACAUAAGGCAGAAUUAACAUAUCAAACUUUAGCAUUAUAAGUAAUGACGGGUCAGAUAUAAGGUUAUGUCUGCAAAAUUGCAUUUCAAUAUAAUAAAUCCAUUCAAACUCUGUCCGGAGACA